UCCGUGCCCCUCCGCGAACUGUGGAGUCGGCGGAGGCCUGGAAUCAGCGUGGGCUCCAGGUCGCUGGCAGCCGGGUGGCAGAACUCUUCCGAGGCUCCUUGGGAAGAAGCUACACCCGAGGGAGCCGGAUGGGCCUCGAAACCCUGGCCCGCUCUGGUUCUGGACCAUUGCAAGGGGAGCUGUAAACUGAGCUUUUCUAACGUGGGUUUCUGCCGAGUACUUUUCCAGCUGCCCCCUUCCCCCCAGCACACAGGAGAGCCUCUGUGUAGCCAGCGCUUGACAGUCGUUAGGUUCAGUGUAUCUUUGCCUGCCUACAUCAAUCUGCAAGGGAGUUGCAGAAAGCCUCAUGUUCAUCGAGCCGUGAGUCACAACCAAUUUCUAAGCUGUUAUAACAAAAAAGUGUUUGCUUUUUUUCACAAGUAACUUUAAAAGUGUAGUUUAGAAAGAAAACAUUUUCAAUAAAAAGACACUACAUUAAUCCUGGAUGCUUGCAAAUCCUGAAAUAUAUUCCUCCUCUAGCGUUGCACAGCUCUGUGUUGUAUACACAGACUAGCUUUAAAAUUUGUCAC
rnacentral:sRNA from 1 species